CCCUGUGGCUCAGUUGGUAGAGCAUGGUGUUUGCAACGCCAGAGUUGUAGAUUCGAUUCCCACAGGGG
rnacentral:tRNA from 1 species